GCACCGAACAGACCUAUGUUCCCGGGUUUUGACUUGUACAAUGUGUGGUUACCAUCAUUAGUCUGAAUAGGUAAGGUACGUCAACAAUGCAUUUCGCUGAAACCACCACUGAAGUCUCAGUCAACAUCAUGGCAGCAUUAGGACUCCUAUGGCUUGUGAGCUGUGAGUAUUUUCUACUUUUCAAAUAAUACAAACAUUUUCAAAUUAAUAUUUAUGUUAAUUUCCUGAACAAAAUACUUUCCCUGAGUGUAUUCAUUUGUCCAUGCAGCCGUAGCAUCCAUCCUUGUCAAAUGUGAAGAUGCAACAUCUGAACACAAAAAGAUCUACCCAGCAAAGAUAUUUGGACCAUCUAGCGUGACUGAAGGGGUAAACAUCCAUUUUAAAUGUAGCACUACUGGCAUCAGAGGACCUGAGGACAAGUUCAAUUUUUACCUUUGCAAGAAUGGAGUUGGGAUAAGAAUUGCGCUGCUGGAGAAAGGUGAAGAUGAUGCUAUUUUCGACAUGAAGAAUGUCACAAGAGAAGACUCAGGCAACUACAGCUGUGUGUACACCAGAGAUAAACUUGUACCCAGUCACUUGAGGUCAACAGGGGAGAAUUUAGUAGUCUUUCAGGUUGAUGAAGAAUGGAAAGAGGCUGCACAUGGUGUGAUACUGGUCAAUGUAAUCCGACUGAUAAGUUCAACAGUUGUGGUCAUUCUUCUAUUGACUGUGGUGGCUGUUAGUUCCUGCUGUUCAAAAAGAGAGAAAAGAGCCAAGCAGCAAGUGCCCAAGGAAGAUACUUGAGGCACUGAAGCUAAAAAGGACUACAGCAGUAUGUACUGUAAUCUGCCAACCUGGUCCAAUGGAACAAUAUGACAGUGAACGCAGGGGGCAAGUUAGCUUUACAGGGACAGCCUUUUGUCAAGAAAAUGUGGGAAAUGAAUGAGCAACAUACAAUCAAUAACCAAUGUUACUUUGCUCAAUGGUUAUUUAUAGUACUGUUUUUAGCAUUCUUUGCUAUAAGUUUGUUGUAACAUUACCUGAUUCUAUAGGGUAGUGACAUUCACUAUGAAGGAAUUAAUUCCGAAUAUAUUGACAGAAUGCUUAAGAAUGUAUAGAUUGUUUAUUGGUAUAAUUAAGAAAUAAGGCAUGAGGAGGUGUGGUUUAUGUCCAAUAUACCACGGCUAACGGCUGUUCUUAUGGAUACCAUAUACAUAUACAAACCCCAGAGGUGACUUAUUUCUAUUAUAAACUGUUUAAAAAUGUAAUUAGAGCAGUAAAAAUAAAUGUUUUGUCAUACCCGUUGUAUAGGUCUGAUAUAUAUCACGUCCUCUCAGCCAAUGAGCAUUCAGGGCUGGAACAACCCAGUUUAUAAUGCAUCUUAAGGAAAACUCUACCCAAAAACUAUAUUUUGGUAUUUGUUUAAUUAGUCCAUUGUUGAUAUUGUCCCAAAAUGUUUUGCAUGUCA
rnacentral:lncRNA from 13 species